GAACUUGCUCAAACUAUCCCCCUUUUUCAGAAUUUUACAUUUAUAUUAGUCUACAAGUCCUCAGCUGAAUUUGGUAAAUGAAUGCUAAAUAUUUUCGUAUGAUUUUCAUUUCCCAUACAUGGAUAAUGUUAGGCUACUCGUAAUACACUUAUUAAUUAUAGUUUAUACAUGAGUCUCUGGGAGGACCAAUGGUAUCAGACCCUAAAAACAUUUAAAUACAUAUCAAUAAUUACAUUA
rnacentral:lncRNA from 1 species